AGAGUUUGAUUCCUGGCUCAGGAUGAACGCUAGCGACAGGCUUAACACAUGCAAGUCGAGGGGCAGCGGGGGCGUAGCAAUAUGCCUGCCGGCGACCGGCGCACGGGUGAGUAACACGUAUGUAACCUGCCCUAUGCAGGGGGAUAACCCGGAGAAAUCCGGCCUAAUACCGCGUAAUACCUUAGGGGAGCAUUCUCUUGAGGUUAAAGGAGAGAUCCGGCAUAGGAUGGACAUGCGUCGCAUUAGGUAGACGGCGGGGUAACGGCCCACCGUGCCGACGAUGCGUAGGGGUUCUGAGAGGAAGGCCCCCCACACUGGUACUGAGACACGGACCAGACUCCUACGGGAGGCAGCAGUGAGGAAUAUUGGUCAAUGGGCGGUAGCCUGAACCAGCCAAGUCGCGUGAGGGACGACGGCCCUACGGGUUGUAAACCUCUUUUGCCGGGGAGCAAGGCGUGCCACGGGUGGCGCGCCGGAGAGUACCCGGAGAAAAAGCAUCGGCUAACUCCGUGCCAGCAGCCGCGGUAAUACGGAGGAUGCGAGCGUUAUCCGGAUUUAUUGGGUUUAAAGGGUGCGCAGGCGGCGUGUCAAGCAAGCGGUAAAAUAGCGGGGCUCAACCCCGUCGAGCCGUUUGAACUGGCGCGCUUGAGUUCAGGCGAGGUAGGCGGAAUUCGUGGUGUAGCGGUGAAAUGCAUAGAUAUCACGAAGAACUCCGAUUGCGAAGGCAGCUUACCAGUCUGCGACUGACGCUCAGGCACGAAAGUGUGGGUAUCGAACAGGAUUAGAUACCCUGGUAGUCCACACAGUAAACGAUGAGCGCUAGGUGUCCGGGUCGAAUGAGGCUUGGGUGCCCGAGCGAAAGCGUUAAGCGCUCCACCUGGGGAGUACGCCGGCAACGGUGAAACUCAAAGGAAUUGACGGGGGCCCGCACAAGCGGAGGAACAUGUGGUUUAAUUCGAUGAUACGCGAGGAACCUUACCCGGGCUCAAACGACGCAGGACGACUUUUGAAAGGAGGUUUCCCCACGGGGCCUGCGUCGAGGUGCUGCAUGGUUGUCGUCAGCUCGUGCCGUGAGGUGUCGGCUUAAGUGCCAUAACGAGCGCAACCCCCAUCGGCAGUUGCCAGCAGGUAAAGCUGGGGACUCUGCCGAGACUGCCGGCGCAAGCUGCGAGGAAGGCGGGGAUGACGUCAAAUCAGCACGGCCCUUACGUCCGGGGCGACACACGUGUUACAAUGGCGGCCACAGCGGGAAGCCAGGCGGCGACGCCGAGCGGAACCCGAAAAGCCGUCUCAGUUCGGAUUGGAGUCUGCAACCCGACUCCAUGAAGCUGGAUUCGCUAGUAAUCGCGCAUCAGCCACGGCGCGG
rnacentral:rRNA from 1 species